rnacentral:tRNA from 1 species
GGGGUUGUGGCUCAGUGGUACAGCGCUUGCCUAGCAUGCAUGAGGCACUGGGUUCGAACCCCAGCACCACA